CUGCAGGUGACAUCCUACGAAAGUAGGCUUCCGCAAGGACACCUGUAGAGGUGCUGCAUGGCUGUCGUCAGCUCGUGUCGUGAGAUGUUGGGUUAAGUCCCGCAACGAGCGCAACCCUUGUCUUCUGUUGCCAUCGGGUUAUGCCGGGCACUCUGAAGAGACUGCCGGUGACAAACCGGAGGAAGGUGGGGAUGACGUCAAGUCAGCAUGGCCUUUAUGUCUGGGGCCACACACGUGCUACAAUGGCCGGUACAAACCGUCGCGAGCUCGCGAGAGGGAGCUAAUCGGAGAAAGCCGGUCUCAGUUCGGAUUGUAGGCUGCAACUCGCCUGCAUGAAGUUGGAAUCGCUAGUAAUCGCGGAUCAGCACGCCGCGGUGAAUACGUUCCCGGGCCUUGUACACACCGCCCGUCACAUCACGAAAGCCGGCUGUACUAGAAGUCGCUGCGCUAACCCGCAAGGGGGGCAAGCGCCUAAGGUAUGGUCGGUGAUUGGGGUG
rnacentral:rRNA from 1 species